CCUGGGAAUGGCGUUUUGAACUGGCAGUCUAGAGUGCGUCAGAGGGGGGUGGAAUUCCACGUGUAGCAGUGAAAUGCGUAGAGAUGUGGAGGAACACCGAUGGCGAAGGCAGCCCCCUGGGAUGACACUGACGCUCAUGUACGAAAGCGUGGGUAGCAAACAGGAUUAGAUACCCUGGUAGUCCACGCCCUAAACGAUGUCAACUGGUUGUUGGGGGAGUGAAAUCCCUUUAGUAACGAAGCUAACGCGUGAAGUUGACCGCCUGGGGAGUACGGUCGCAAGAUUAAAACUCAAAGGAAUUGACGGGGACCCGCACAAGCGGUGGAUGAUGUGGAUUAAUUCGAUGCAACGCGAAAAACCUUACCUACCCUUGACAUGUCCGGAAUCCUGCAGAGAUGCGGGAGUGCCCGAAAGGGAAUCGGAACACAGGUGCUGCAUGGCUGUCGUCAGCUCGUGUCGCGAGAUGUUCGGUUAAGUCCCGCAACGAGCGCAACCCUUAUCAUUAGUUGCUACGCAAGGGCACUCUAAUGAGACUGCCGGUGACAAACCGGAGGAAGGUGGGGAUGACGUCAAGUCCUCAUGGCCCUUAUGGGUAGGGCUUCACACGUAAUACAAUGGUCGGUACAGAGGGUUGCCAAGCCGCGAGGUGGAGCCAAUCCCAGAAAGCCGAUCGUAGUCCGGAUUGUUCUCUGCAACUCGAGAGCAUGAAGUCGGAAUCGCUAGUAAUCGCGGAUCAGCAUGUCGCGGUGAAUACGUUCCCGGGUCUUGUACACACCGCCCGUCCCCCCCAUGGGAACUGGAGAGAG
rnacentral:rRNA from 1 species